UACGAAGGGGGCGAGCGUUGUUCGGAAUUACUGGGCGUAAAGGGCGCGUAGGCGGCGACUCAAGUUAGAUGUGAAAGUCCUGGGCUUAACCUGGGGACUGCAUUUGAUACUGGGUUGCUUGAAUUCGGGAGAGGAUAGCGGAAUUCCCAGUGUAGAGGUGAAAUUCGUAGAUAUUGGGAAGAACACCGGUGGCGAAGGCGGCUAUCUGGACCGACAUUGACGCUGCGGCGCGAAAGCGUGGGGAGCAAACAGG
rnacentral:rRNA from 1 species